rnacentral:tRNA from 1 species
GUGCGUGUGGUGUAAAGGCAGCACGCGACCCUGUGAAGGUCUGAGUGGCGGGUUCAAGUCCCCCCAUGCACC